GGUGGUCUAUUGUGAUAGAUUUGAUGGUCUAUACCCUUUUCUCUAUUGCGAUAGACUUGAUGGUCCAUAGCUCUUGUAUGGGUGGUCUACCGAGGUAGACUUAAUGGUCCAUAGCCACGUGUGGGUAGUCUUUAAAUGGAUUUGAUGGAUGAAACUAGAACUUUUGAAAAUUUCAUAGCCCUUCUUUGGGUGGUCUUUGUAUGGACUUGAUGGAUAACUAUAAAAUUUUCAUAGCUCAAUUUUGAGUGGUUUGUCUUUGACAGACUUGAUGAAAUUGGUCAUGAUAUGGACUACUUGUGAAGUCUUCAUAGCUCAGUUUUGAGUAGUGUAUCGUGAUAGACUUGACGAAGGAAUAAACGUGAUUGUAAAGGUGUGACUGUCUUCUAUGAAAAAGUUUACAAAUCUUUUUCUAGAGCUUUCACAUUGACCUGAGGUUUUAUGUGCAUAGCCUUAAAUAGCACAAUUUUGAGGUGUCUAUUGUGAUAGACUUUAUUGCGGAAUCAGUGAAAAAUUAAAAAACAAAACUUGUUGCGGAGGUCUCAAUCGUAGCUAUCGAAAGUUCAACCCUACUUUUAUCUUUCCUUUAUUCCACUCCUUACUCGCUCGGUGUGUUAACUUUGAGAGUAACAGACAUAAGUGAUUCGACAGGUGGCAACAUAACAUUCAUGAUCAAUGUUUGUUUUUCCAAUAACUUCCUCUCAAUUCAUUACAUCCUCCUUCUCUUCAAACUGCUCUGAAUUUCGAUUAUAUUGGGAACUUUCAUUUUAGUCGUUUCGCAGAACUUCUCCCUUUGUUGGAUCAUAUUCUUCGGUGAUCUCGUCGCAUCUUCGUCGUCCAACGCCCAACCGCUGUUGUGAUUUUCGCCGGUUAGAGUGUCGAUUCUCUAAAUGGAUCAAGAGGCUGCACGAACUGCUCGGGAAUCGCUAGAUCUCGCAUUUCAUAUGUCUAAUGUACUUGAUUCCGGGAUCGAUCGCCACACUCUCUCUGUCCUCAUUGCUCUCUGUGACAUGGGUGUGAACCCUGAAGCUCUGGCUGCUGUUGUCAAGGAACUACGGCGGGAGCCACCCUCAUCAGAGACCAACGUAUCCAGUAACAAGUCAUAAGUUCCCCAAGCAAAGAAACAACUCUGUUCUUCUGAUGAAGGUUGAAAUACAAAUGUGUUCUUUAACCAUGUUUCUAUAUGUAGCUUACUUGGAUGGCAUCUUGUGAUAGAUGGCUUGGUGUUUAGAAUGUUUUUAGCAUUCACAAUCUUGUGUUCAUCCUCUCUUCUCUAUUUCGAUGCCUUACAGAUUGCAUGUUUAGCUGAUUUAGUCAAAAUAACAGAAUUGGCACACAUGUAUUCUAAUCAGAUCUGUUGGAAUGAGAGUGAGGGAGUAUUCUACCUGAACAUACCAACAGUUGAUCAAUAUCGGUAUGUUUUUCCAUUC